rnacentral:rRNA from 1 species
UAAUACGGAGGCCCCAAGCGUUGUUCGGAUUUACUGGGCGUAAAGCGUGCGUAGGCGGCGAGGUAAGUUUGGCGUGAAAGCCCCGGGCCCAACCCGGGAAAUGCGCUGAAAACUACUUCACUAGAGGUGUGGAGGGGAGUCUGGAAUUCCUGGUGUAGCAGUGAAAUGCGUAGAUAUCAGGAGGAACAUCAGUGGCGAAGGCGAGACUCUGGAAACAUUCUGACGCUGAGGUACGAAGGCUAGGGGAGCGAAGAGGAUUAGAUACCCUCGUAGUCCUAGCAGUAAACGGUGUGCACUUGCUGUGGGGGGAUUCGACCCCUUCCGUGGCGAAGCUAACGCAUUAAGUGCACCGCCUGGGGAGUACGGCCGCAAGGUUA